rnacentral:rRNA from 1 species
UGGGGAAUUUUGCACAAUGGGGGCAACCCUGAUGCAGCGACGCCGCGUGAUUUAGAAGGCCUUCGGGUUGUAAAAAUCUUUUGUAUGGGAAGAAAAUGACAGUACCAUACGAAUAAGGAUCGGCUAAUUACGUGCCAGCAGCCGCGGUAAUACGUAAGGUCCGAGCGUUGUCCGGAAUCAUUGGGCGUAAAGGGUACGUAGGCGGAUAAGCAAGUUAGAAGUGAAAUCCUAUAGCUCAACUAUAGUAAGCUUUUAAAACUGCUCAUCUUGAGGUAUGGAAGGGAAAGUGGAAUUCCUAGUGUAGCGGUGAAAUGCGCAAAUAUUAGGAGGAAUACCGGUGGCGAAGGCGACUUUCUGGCCAUAAACUGACGCUGAGGUACGAAAGCGUGGGUAGCAAACAGG